rnacentral:rRNA from 1 species
CUACGGGGGGCAGCAGUGGGGAAUAUUGGACAAUGGGGGAAACCCUGAUCCAGCAAUGCCGCGUGUGUGAAGAAGGCCUGCGGGUUGUAAAGCACUUUCGGUUGGGAGGACUGCUUCUAGCACUAAUAUUGUUGGAAGUUGACGUUACCUUCAGAAGAAGCACCGGCUAACUCCGUGCCAGCAGCCGCGGUAAUACGGAGGGUGCAAGGUUAAUCGGAAUUACUGGGCGUAAAGCGCGCGUAGGCGGCUAGAUCAGUCGGGUGUGAAAGCCCCGGGCUUAACCUGGGAACUGCAUCCGAUACUGUCUAGCUUGAGUACAGGAGAGGAGAGUGGAAUUCCACAUGUAGCGGUGAAAUGCGUAGAUAUGUGGAGGAACACCAAUGGCGAAGGCAGCUCUCUGGCCUGAUACUGACGCUGAGGUGCGAAGGCGUGGGGAGCAAACAGGAUUAGAUACCCUGGUAGUC